rnacentral:rRNA from 1 species
AAUCAACGCUGGCGGCACGCCUUACACAUGCAAGUCGAACGGCAGCACGGGAGCAAUCCUGGUGGCGAGUGGCGAACGGGUGAGUAAAGUAUCGGAACGUGCCCAGUCGUGGGGGAUAACGUAGCGAAAGUUACGCUAAUACCGCAUACGAUCUAUGGAUGAAAGCGGGGAUCGCAAGACCUCGCGCGAUUGGAGCGGCCGAUAUCAGAUUAGGUAGUUGGUGGGGUAAAGGCUCACCAAGCCGACGAUCUGUAGCUGGUCUGAGAGGACGACCAGCCACACUGGGACUGGGACACGGCCCAGACUCGUACGGGAGGCAGCAGUGGGGAAUUUUGGACAAUGGGCGAAAGCCUGAUCCAGCCAUGCCGCGUGCAGGAUGAAGGCCUUCGGGUUGUAAACUGCUUUUGUACGGAACGAAAAGGUUUGGCCUAAUAAGCUGAGCUCAUGACGGUACCGUAAGAAUAAGCACCGGCUAACUACGUGCCAGCCGCCGCAGUAAAAC